rnacentral:tRNA from 1 species
AUUUCUAUUUAUGUAGUUUAUAAAAAAACAUUACAUUUUCAUUGUAAAAUUAAAAUUUUUUCUUAA